UACAGAGGAUGCAAGCGUUAUCCGGAAUGAUUGGGCGUAAAGCGUCUGUAGGUGGCUUUUUAAGUCCGCCGUCAAAUCCCAGGGCUCAACUCUGGACAGGCGGUGGAAACUACCAAGCUGGAGUACGGUAGGGGCAGAGGGAAUUUCCGGUGGAGCGGUGAAAUGCGUUGAUAUCGGAAGGAACGCCGGUGGCGAAAGCGGCGUGCUGGACCUCUUCUGACGCUGAGGCGCGAAAGCCAGGGGAGCAAACGGG
rnacentral:rRNA from 1 species